rnacentral:rRNA from 1 species
CCUACGGGUGGCUGCAGUGGGGAAUAUUGGACAAUGGGGGGAACCCUGAUCCAGCCAUGCCGCGUGUGUGAAGAAGGCCCUCGGGUUGUAAAGCACUUUCAGUGAGGAAGAACGCCUGGUGGUUAAUACCCAUCAGGAAAGACAUCACUCACAGAAGAAGCACCGGCUAACUCCGUGCCAGCAGCCGCGGUAAUACGGAGGGUGCGAGCGUUAAUCGGAAUUACUGGGCGUAAAGCGCGCGUAGGUGGCUUGGUAAGCCGGUUGUGAAAGCCCCGGGCUCAACCUGGGAACGGCAUCCGGAACUGUCAAGCUAGAGUGCAGGAGAGGAAGGUAGAAUUCCCGGUGUAGCGGUGAAAUGCGUAGAGAUCGGGAGGAAUACCAGUGGCGAAGGCGGCCUUCUGGACUGACACUGACACUGAGGUGCGAAAGCGUGGGUAGCAAACAGGAUUAGAUACCCGGGUAGUC